rnacentral:rRNA from 1 species
GUGCCAGCAGCCGCGGUAAUACGGAGGAGGCAAGCGUUAUCCGGAAUUAUUGGGCGUAAAGCGUCCGUAGGUGGUUGAACAAGUCAGCUGUUAAAGAGUGGUGCUUAACACCAUGCAGGCGGUUGAAACUGUUUGACUAGAGUUUGGUAGGGGUUGCGGGAAUUCCCAGUGUAGCGGUGAAAUGCGUAGAUAUUGGGAAGAACACCGGUGGCGAAAGCGCGCGACUGGACCUGAACUGACACUGAGGGACGAAAGCUAGGGGAGCGAAAGGGAUUAGAUACCCCUGUAGUCC